CGGCCGUAACAAUAACGGUCCUAAGGUAGCGAAAUUCCUUGUCGGGUAAGUUCCGACCUGCACGAAUGGCGUAACGAUGGCGGCGCUGUCUCCACCCGAGACUCAGUGAAAUUGAAAUCGCUGUGAAGAUGCAGUGUAUCCGCGGCUAGACGGAAAGACCCCGUGAACCUUUACUGUAGCUUUGCACUGGUUCUAACUCUGGUCCGUGAUCCGGAUCGAGGACAGUGUAUGGUGGGCAGUUUGACUGGGGCGGUCUCCUCCUAAAGAGUAACGGAGGAGUACGAAGGUGCGCUCAGACCGGUCGGAAAUCGGUCGCAGAGUAUAAAGGCAAAAGCGCGCUUGACUGCGAGACAGACACGUCGAGCAGGUACGAAAGUAGGUCUUAGUGAUCCGGUGGUUCUGUAUGGAAGGGCCAUCGCUCAACGGAUAAAAGGUACUCCGGGGAUAACAGGCUGAUACCGCCCAAGAGUUCAUAUCGACGGCGGUGUUUGGCACCUCGAUGUCGGCUCAUCACAUCCUGGGGCUGAAGCCGGUCCCAAGGGUAUGGCUGUUCGCCAUUUAAAGUGGUACGCGAGCUGGGUUUAGAACGUCGUGAGACAGUUCGGUCCCUAUCUGCCGUGGACGUUUGAGAUUUGAGAGGGGCUGCUCCUAGUACGAGAGGACCGGAGUGGACGAACCCUGGCAUGCUUGAGGUUCUAACUCUGGUCCGUGAUCCGGAUCGAGGACAGUGUAUGGUGGGCGGU
rnacentral:rRNA from 1 species